rnacentral:lncRNA from 1 species
CGUAGCGCACUUCCUGGAACUGACGGAAGAGUAUGCUGAGAAAAAUAUGGAAACGAGAACUGAAGCUUAUCUGAAGGAGACGGUGCUUCCAAACAUAUCAAAGUCGAUAUCAGUUCUUCGUCGCUAUGAAACCUCUUGCCUGCAGCAGAAGAAACCAACCUUGUAAGCAGGCUUAUCAAAGCAAUUGCAAACAAUGCAUGCAAAGAGCAGCUCACCUCUGGCUUAUUGAAACUUGACCACAACUUCACUGCAAAAGGAGCUCCAAAUAUGGAACCUGAAACGCCCGCAGACCGGUGGGGAAAAGCGCUUACAGUGCUUAGCCUCGACUUCUUCCAACGCGUUCUAUCCGCGGUGAAAACCAAGGGUCUUAAACAGGAUAUGAUCAGCAAAAUCUGAAGGUGUCUACAGGACAAAAUGCAAGAGAUCGAAAUUGGAAGAAAAAAAAUAUGAAGCUUUACGUGAGGCUUGGUGUUGCAAUUUCUCAAAUGAAAAUUUAUUGUUGUCCGGUGAUUGUUUAGGUAGUUUUAACUGGUGGAUAUUAAAGUUUGGUUGGUGUGUGUAUUGAAGUUUGGUUGGCUGGUUUGUAUAUUGAAGUUUGAUUGGUGUAUGUAUUGAAGUUUGGUUGGUUUGGUUUGUAUAUUAAAGUUCGGUUGGUUGAUGUGAUUUGUUCGUUUUUAGAAAUUUUGUCGGAAUAUAAAUCAUCUUUAGAUUAAAAUUUUUGUAAAAUUAAGAGUAAUGUAGGUAAACUAAAUAUGCAAACUAAAUAAUGUAUUACUAAUAAAAAUAAGCACAUUAAUCAACACUUAAAUAAUAAUCCGAUCAUCAACUUUCAUGUAAUUUAGUUUACAAAGUUUGUUCUACGAAUUUAGUCUUCCUAGCAUUACCCUAAAAGUAAAUUUAGAGAACAUAAUUCAAAGAUACAAAAAUAUCCUUACCCGAAAAAAAUUAGGAUUAAAACCAUUUCAUAACAAUUAAUACAUUUUAGGUCUUGAAAUUAAAUUUUGUCUUUCAAUGAACCUAAAUAUUUGAGUUUGAGUCCAAGGGUUGGAGUUGGUCUUAAACUAUUUGUUUUUUACAGUCAAAAGUGCUUUGUUUAGCAGAAAACUUCAAAGUACUUUCAAGUGUUUUCCAUAAAACACAUAGAUUGUCAAUAAAAAUUUCAAUUAAGUACUUAUGAGUUAUGAGCUUUUAGUUUUAGAUAAGCAAUCCUACUACCUAAUGACCCAACUCUUUGGAACGAUGCAUUCUCGGAAAUUACUAGAUAGAAGAUUGUGGUAAGCGGGAGGAAGGUGAGGGUGAUGUCAAGUCAUUAUGCGCCCUUGCCCACUUAUGCCUUGGGCAAUACACAUGCUAUAGUGGCUGGAACCGCUAGUAAUUAUCGUUCAGCCAUACAACAAUGAAUUUAUUCUCGAGCCUUGUCACACUAUGGGAGUUGGCCAUGCUUGAAGUCAAAAGAGAAGAGAAGACACAACAUUUGUCGGAUUGUGCUAUCUACACACUCAUUUUUACUUUCUACACACCCUCUCAAUUUCCAAAAUUAACAAGGGUGUGCGAGAGAUAAAAAAGAGUGUGAAUAACACUACCUAAGUUGUAAGUCAUCGAAUGUCUCCAAGCACGGGAUGGGGAUCAUUUUCCCUCCCUUUUUCCCUCCCCUCCCUCCCCGCCUCUCACAAAUUGUUUUUCUUGUUUCUCUCUGUACUUGUUUUUUUUUUUUUUUUGUUUCUCUCUACAAAUAUGAAAUCUUGAGCGUUUAAACAAGAACGGAAAGAGAGUGGAGAGAAUCUUUGUUCCCACGCGGCUACCUCCGCCUUUCGCUUUCCUUCCCCUUCUUCCUUACUGUAAACUUUACUCGAACAUAUUUCAAGUUAUGUCAUAAUUAACAUUAGAGUAAUACUGUAAAACCCAGGUUAAAGAACUUGAUCUGGUUUACCACUUUAAGCAAAAGUAGCAAAUAAUGAUGGGUCAUAUCACUUUCUACGUUGGUUUCUUUUCAAAUUUGUUUCAUUGUAUUGAAGAGAAUCGAACACUGAACGUAACUUAAUUUUUUCUAACACAUUAUCCUAAACACCUGUGCGUUCUUACUUUAACUUGGAGUAAAAUGAUUAAUAACCCAAGCUACAUUAUGAUCCACCCACCCACACGUUGGAUCACUACAUUGCAAUGCUUUGCUUUUUCGCAUGUGUUUAAAAUAAAGAACUGAGAUUCUCUCCAAAUCACUGUGUUUGGAAUCGGCAGCCUCAUAGAUCGGACCACUCAUGUAAAGCUUUACGGCCUCAUUUGUCUGUCCCACUGCUCUACCUCACACAAAUCAUGGGCCCAUAUCUCUUGCUUCCCUCCUUAAAUGACCAAAAAAAUUUGGUCCGUUGGCUCGGAACUUGGAGAUCCCGAAAUAAGCGUGCUUAGAUUUGGUUUAUAAUUCUUUUUUACUGUAAAUAAUUACUGCCACACACUUCUACUAAUGAAUAAUGAUUCAAACUCCUUUUCACCCUCAUGGGUAACCACAGAAGGACUCAGACAUACUUUUGCCAAUGCUGUCCUUACUUUAUUAUUAUUAUUUCCAAAUUUUAUUUUUCCCAUCUGAUUUAAAUAUAUUUCUUUGAAUUACAUGGUUCACAAAUUCUGAAAACUAGAUUAACCUUAAAAAAAAUGAAUGAGUCCCAAUGCAAUAGCUUAUUACCAAAUGAUGAAAUUUUGAUUUGAUGAGGCAGCUCUGUAGACUGCAGUGUGACAGUGUCCAGCUUCAGCAUUCUGCAAAAUUAUAAUUUUUUGAGUAUGUAUAUAUAUAUAUAUAUAUAUAUUGUAAUUGAGAAAGAGUAGUAAUAACGCUUGUAAUAAAAGAAUUUUGCAAAAUUAUAAUUUUUUGAGUAAAUGUAUAUUUUAAUAUAAUCACAUAUAUAUAUAUAUAUAUAUAUAUAUAUAUAUAUAUAUAUAUUGUAAUUGAGUAAGAGUAGCAAUAAUACUUGUAAUUAAAGAAAACGUUGUGACUCACGAGCUUAAUGAAGUUUGGCUUUAAUUUUGAUAAAUAGUUUCUGUUACCUUUCAUUAUAUAUAAAAUUUUCACUCCAGCAAAGGAGAAUCCUUCAUUUUAUCUUCAUUUUAUCAUUUUACCUACAAGCGGCAUUUUGAUAAAGUUUUGACGUUCAUCGACGAUAUAUUUCUAAAUGUAUGCAAGAAUUUCACCAGUUGUAUGCAAGAAUCUCACUGUUCCUUUCACUUGGUCACUCAUAAUUUGAUACAUUGUUUGUGCCCAAUAAGAAAAACAAAUUAAAGCAAGAACUUGGCUGGAAUCAAUAAGUGCACCCAGCAGAGCAGGGCACUCCAAUUUCUUCUCUUUGCCCUGCCAGCUUACUCUGUAACAGUGUUGAAGCAACAUAUGGAUUGGACCACCUGCCAACUGUUCACAAUGAAAAAGAAGUUAACCAACUUGAUUAAUUUUUUUACAUGAAUAUGCUGUUAUCGUAGCGUUUCAUAUUAAUAAAAUAAAAAUAUAUGUAAGUUUUUUUUCCGUAACGUGGAGUUUGUGACACGAAAUACUACGGCAAGAGUCUACCUGUGCCGUAAGUUUGCACAUUGCUCCAAUAUUAAAAUGUUGUUCAUCACCAACCGAUCAUCCAGCAAACAAAAAAGAAAAAGAAUUGAUGAGGUUAUCAUUGCCACCUGAUCGACUCAAUCCCACGCCAUCAUGAGUCCAACAUUGUCACACUGAGAGCACUGAGUAGCACAAAUGUACAACCAAAUUUAAUACAAGCAUGUGUUGCCAAGGUAAUUAUGUUAAAACGAGUCAUUAAGAGUAGAUAUUGUAGGAGUCCUUUAUUAGGAAAGAAUUAUAUUGGGUUAUAGCCUUUCUUGUAAAACAAGACUAUGAUGUUGCCGAUGUUGGAUUUUUCAAUACGUCUCCUUACGUGGGAUCCAAUUAGUGGUCAUGUGGGAGAUCCACACAACUACAACCAUGUUGAGCCAAUGAGACUCAUCGUACACGCGGGAUCAAAGUACCCAACAUCAUUGCGCACGGUCAAGGGGACCCACCCAUCACGUGGUAGUACACUACGGGUUUGCUCCUUGACUCUGAUACCAUGUCGAAUUAUCAGAGAGACGGGUGAAAGGCUCACUUCCAACAAUACUGAUAUUGUCCCCAACUUGAUAAUUACCACAUGCACAAUCCGUCAAAUGUGGAGUUUUAUCACAAAAGGCAUCGGUAUUAGUUAGAGUGGAGUUAGGAUAUUCAUAAUCAAAUAUAGGGCUGGCAGAUCAAGUGACAGAUACAAAGCAAGGUUGGUGGCGAAGGGUUAUACUCAAACGUAUGGUGUGGAUUACCAGGAAACCUUUUCACCAGUAGAUAGGAUGAAUAGGGUACGUGUUUUAAUCUUUUUAGUUGCAAAUAUGGAUUAGCCACUAAAACAAUUUGAUGUGAAGAAUGCUUUCCUUGAUGGUGGAAUCUAGAAGAAGAAGUAUAUAUUGUUUUUCCUCCUGGAUAUGAUGCAAAUAGGAAGACUGGGGUGUGUAUAUUGCGUAAGUCUCUAUAUGGGCUUAAGCAAACACCUCGUGCGUGGUUCAACAGGUUCACUCAGGCAAUGAAGAAAAAUGGGUAUCAUCAGAGUCAUUCAGACCAUACAUUAUUUAUAAAGCGUAGAUUAAGCAAAGUAAUUGCACUGAUUAUCUAUGUAGAUGACAUGAUUAUUAUAGAAGAUGACUCAGAUAAGAUAAUUAGGUUGCAGGAGAAUUUGCAUUAGAGUUUGAGAUGAAAAACUUGGGAGAUUUGAAGUACUUCCUUGGAGUUGAGGUUGCCCAGUCGUCCAAAUGUAUUUCUUAUCUCAAAGGAAAAUAUUUGUUGGAUUUGUUAAAAGAAACUGGUAUGCUAGGGUGUAAACCUGUGGACACACCUAUUGUAGAAAAACAUCAUAUGGGUGUUUAUCCAUGUUAUAAUAUGAAUAGGUGACUGGCGUAUGCUUUAGGGCAAACUGUUAGCAUUUCGAAGCUUGUGUGAGAGUCGAUUAAGAGGCUAUACUAGAUGUAUUGCCUCCGUUUCUUAGACUUGACUAACCUAUGUGCAAACUAACAUUCACGCAAAUUUUCUCGUCUCUCAUGAUUGAUUAAUUGUUGAGAGUAUGAAUCCUAUUGAGAAAGAAAGAACAUUGCAUGUGCUUAUAAGUAAAUGGGCUACUCCUCAUAUUACCAAUUGAUUUUAUGGUUGAAUCAAAUUUCUUUAUAAAAUCAGAGCAAGUUGUCCCUCGUGUGAAGUCCAACGGCCACACGUGCUCCGAGUCACCUAAUUUGUGUUUCUACGUCCUAGUUUGAAAAUUUGUCACACAAUUGAUACCUGAAUUGGUAGGUUUGAUGUACAAUGUUUUAGUAUCACAUAAUAAUUUCUCGUCAUUGAGCCGUACAAGGCCUCCAGAUGUCGAAACCGUAGUGGCUGAAAGUAUGUAACACGGGUAUACAUCCCUUAUGGAAUAUAUGAUGGAAAUGCAUGUUUGGUUCUAGAAGACUAUAGAAUAUAGUUUAAGUGGAUGCGUGUGGUUCUAAUUAUAUCAGGUAAACCCACUCAUCCUUUAAAUUUCUACUUUAAUUAGCUUUACACAUAAUUAACGACUUAAUUUAAGCAAAAGCUUUAAGCGAGUAGCUUUCACUAGCCAUGAUUACAACCCCCAAAAGCACUGCAGCCCUCUCAGAAAUCCUGCAAAAUUUCCUCACAAACAUUAACCAUGUAAAAGCAACUCACUCAGUCACUCACUCCCUCUCACUACCUUUCACCGAAAAGUGCUUUUGCAGCUGCAAUUCCUUGACUUUUAGAUUAAAAACCUCAUCAUAGACACUCAUUAAAGUAAUUAAAUUGUUUCAAAGUCCCCUCCUUUGUUCUUGCUCGGUUUCAUGUGACUUUCUCCUCUCUCCAGCAGCAUUUUUCUUUUUCUCUCUUUCCCCAAACGAUUUCUCCGACAAAUGUUGCAAUGUGCAACUGGAAACUGAGAAAUCUGAGAUGGGGUUUUAGUGGAAAGUGCUUAUGUUGCUGAAAGUUUGAGGCUUCUGAACUUUUUGUAGUGGGAUUUGGAGGUGCAGGAUUUUGAGUGGGAAUUUAUGAAGUAAGGUGUUUGAAAAUUUGAGAAAUCUGAGACGGGUUUUUAGUAAAAGUGCUUAUAUUGUUGAAAGCUUGAGGCUUUUGAUAAUUUUGUAGUGGGAUUGGAGCUGCAGGAUUUUGAUCAUAAAGUGUUUGAGGAAAGAUGGGGGCCGUCACCAUUGGUGAACUGAAGCCUAGCAUUUCCGGGAAGCGGUCGUUUCGUCCGAGUUCCAGCAUAAGGCAUGCCACUGAAUGGUAAUGUUCCCCCUCAUCUUCUGUUUUCUUUAUAUUCGAUCGAUAUCUAAUCGAAUGUAAAAUAGUAAAAUGCGAGAGCGGGAAUUGAACUUGGGCACAUAUUGCAAUAGCCAACUUGAUUACACCCAGUUAUGCGUUCCUCCAUCUCUUUUAUUGAUUACGUACAUUUAAUUUUAGCCUUUUUUUCUCUAGCUUUGAGUCACAUGGUAGUCUCUACUUACUUACUAGUAACUCUAUGUUGCACGGUAAUACAACCAGAAACACGAAAGGACACGAAAAUAGAGUUUUUUUUUUUAGCAUUUUUUUGGGAUUUGAGUGUCAAAACAGAGCCUAUGUUUUUCAAACAGUCUAUGAGCUUCUGUGCCCCACCCACCACCCUCCUCUGAAAUUAAGGAAGAUAAUAACAUUUCAUGGUCACACAAUAAAUCAUGUGAGCUUCUUCCCGACAGUACGGAAUCGAAACAACAAUAGCACGAGGACCACCUGGCUGAUUGCCGUCCAGAUGUAGCCAUAUUUCACUGUCAACAUUCUUGAAAUGCCAACUGCCAACCCAAGUUAAUGUUUUGAGGAUCAAUUAUUUGUGUGUAUUUACCCUCUGUCGGCCCUGAACACAUGUACGGACCAGUUGUACAAAAUUACAAAUUGUUCCUUGUUUGUGACAGACCCUUCUUGCUUUAUUCAGCGUGACUGUUACAUCGUUGCGUGGUAUUAUUAGUCCGCUCAACUAGCUUAGCCAAUCAGCUUUCUUAUCCUUUACCAUAAUCUAACAUUACUCUUCAUGUGCAAACUCCAAUCCACCACUCAUUUCGCAAUUAUUGAACCAUCCGCCUAUAGCGAAUCAUUAAUAUCUAGGGAGAAUCACGCUGUCCAUAUGUUUUGAUUGAACUAGAACGAGUGUGUUGUGUACUUCCAAGGAAACAAAAAGAAAAAGUUCCUGCAGGAUUUUUGAUAUGAUGGUACCUAUGAGAAUGUAUGCAUUUGGUUCUAGAUCGUAACCUAGAUAUUGAUUUUCUUGCCUUGCUUCGUUUCCAUUUUUCAACGAAUUUAUUCUAUCACGCAGGCCAAUCUCUGAUGUUUCUAGCGAUCUUACUGUGGAAAUAGGAGCAUCAAGCUUUGCACUUCACAAGGUGAGUGAAACCGGUUCAGAACUAGUCUGUUGUUCAAUUUGUUGCGGUUACAAGAUAGUUAUUCAUUAGCUUGAGAUAAAAUAACUUUCUGUCACGAUUAAACGAAGACUUGUUGAAUUAGUAAUGUGACGAUGACUGUGGUGCAGUUCCCCCUAGUUUCUAAGAGUGGAAGGAUUCGGAGACUGUUGCUUGAAGCAAAAGAUGCAAAAGUUUCGCGCAUAAUUCUCUCUGCUGUUCCGGGUGGACCAGAGGGAUUUGAGCUAGCUGCAAAGUUCUGUUACGGAGUUCAUGUUGAAAUUACGCAGUCAAAUGUUGCCAUGCUUCGUUGCGUAGCGCACUUCCUGGAAAUGACGGAAGAGUAUGCUGAGAAAAAUAUGGAAACGAGAGCUGAAGCUUAUCUGAAGGAGACGGUGCUUCCAAACAUAUCAAAGUCGAUAUCAGUUCUUCAUCGCUGCGAAACCCUCUUGCCAGCAGCAGAAGAAACCAACCUUGUAAGCAGGCUUAUCAACGCAAUUGCAAACAAUGCAUGCAAAGAGCAGCUCACCUCUGGCUUAUUGAAACUUGACCACAACUUCACUGCAAAAGGAGCUCCAAAUAUGGAAC